UUGCUAUCUGCAAUUUAUAAGAUUCGAACCUGCAGCAGGUCGAGUCGAACGCAGUGAGACAACGGAGCCGUUUACGGCGACGGCCCGAAGGGCGAGCGAAGCGAGUCAUCCUGCACGACCUACCA
rnacentral:sRNA from 10 species